UGGGGAAUUUUGGACAAUGGGGGAAACCCUGAUCCAGCCAUCCCGCGUGUGCGAUGAAGGCCUUCGGGUUGUAAAGCACUUUUGGCAGGAAAGAAACGUCGCGGGUUAAUACCCCGCNAAACUGACGGUACCUGCAGAAUAAGCACCGGCUAACUACGUGCCAGCAGCCGCGGUAAUACGUAGGGUGCAAGCGUUAAUCGGAAUUACUGGGCGUAAAGCGUGCGCAGGCGGUUCGGAAAGAAAGAUGUGAAAUCCCCAGAGCUUAACUUUGGAACUGCAUUUUUAACUACCGGGCUAGAGUGUGUCAGAGGGAGGUGGAAUUCCGCGUGUAGCAGUGAAAUGCGUAGAUAUGCGGAGGAACACCGAUGGCGAAGGCAGCCUCCUGGGAUAACACUGACGCUCAUGCACGAAAGCGUGGGGAGCAAACAGGAUUAGAUACCCUGGUAGUCCACGCCCUAAACGAUGUCAACUAGCUGUUGGGGCCUUCGGGCCUUGGUAGCGCAGCUAACGCGUGAAGUUACCGCCUGGGGAGUACGGUCGCAAGAUUAAAACUUAAAUGAAUUG
rnacentral:rRNA from 1 species